rnacentral:rRNA from 1 species
UUUAUGGAGAGUUUGAUCCUGGCUCAGGAUGAACGCUGGCGGCGUGCCUAAUACAUGCAAGUCGAGCGAACGGACGAGAAGCUUGCUUCUCUGAUGUUAGCGGCGGACGGGUGAGUAACACGUGGAUAACCUACCUAUAAGACUGGGAUAACUUCGGGAAACCGGAGCUAAUACCGGAUGAUAUUUUGAACCGCAUGGUUCAAAAGUGAAAGACGGUCUUGCUGUCACUUAUAGAUGGAUCCGCGCUGCAUUAGCUAGUUGGUAAG